GGUUGAUUAAAAAUUUAUUUAUACAGUAUGUAGAGUGCAAAUAAAUAAUUCAUAGUAUUAUUUUGAAUAAAAACGAAGUGAAAUUGGGAAGUAUGAAGAAAAUAGCCCAACUGUACCAGAUUUUUUGAAACAUUUUGGUUUUACUUCCAGUGUCAACUUUAAAGAUUAGUCAGUCGAUUAUUUCACCUUUCACCGGCGACGAUAUACAUGGAAUCCUUCCACACGACGGCACCGUGGGAAGCCGACCCGUUGGGUGUGAAACCCGGAACGGUGACAGUUUCCCAAAACCCUUCGCUAGCUAGCUGACUACAAUCAGUUCCUCUGUAAUUUCCUAUACAAGCGCAACCGUUUUCCGGUUCACAGACACCUCUUUCUUCGAAAGCUCCGCAAUCAUUCGGACAUUUUUCUAGAUGACAAGCAGCGCCGGUCCAAUAACCGUCGCAAGUGCACUGUCCAUCUAUGCAGAUACCAUGACCGGAACAGUUGAUACCAGCAACCUCGAGGAUUAUUUCAGAAUUCAAAGAUUAUUUCAAGAAUUUUGACAUUUAUUCAAUAAAGUGGUUGAAUUUUCA